AGUGGGAUGGCCGAGUUGGUCUAAGGCGUUAGACUAGGGAUCUCGGGGGCGUGGGUUCAAAUUUCACUCUCAUUA
rnacentral:tRNA from 1 species